GGGGAUGUGGCUUGUUGGUAGAGUUCUUGCCUUGCAUGCAUAAGGCCUAGGUUCAAUUCUCAGCAUCACAA
rnacentral:tRNA from 1 species